rnacentral:rRNA from 1 species
UACGUAGGGUGCAAGCGUUAAUCGGAAUUACUGGGCGUAAAGCGUGCGCAGGCGGUGAUGUAAGACAGAUGUGAAAUCCCGGGCUCAACCUGGGAACUGCAUUUGUGACUGCAUCGCUGGAGUACGGCAGAGGGGGAUGGAAUUCCGCGUGUAGCAGUGAAAUGCGUAGAUAUGCGGAGGAACACCGAUGGCGAAGGCAAUCCCCUGGGCCUGUACUGACGCUCAUGCACGAAAGCGUGGGGAGC